rnacentral:tRNA from 1 species
GCCCCCGUAGCUUACGCCAAAGCGUGGCACUGAAGAUGCCAAGACAAAGUAUCAAAAAUUUCGCGGGCA